GUGGCCUGCUGCUCCUCCUCAGAGAACCAGGCUACUGCCGCAUAAGGUGUUCCGCUGCUGCCGUGACAGCUGACAGCAGAGAAGACCGGAUCAAGAAAGGAGGGAGACAGAAAGCAGGAAACAACAAGCCGAUGGUGGACGGAUUUUGAGG